GCGAGUCUGGCCGAGUGGUUAAGGCGUUGUGUUUAGGUAGUCCAGGGUUCCCCUUCGACAAAUACUUGAUCCGCAAUGGGCAUCGCCCGCGUAGGUUCGAUCCCUACGGCUCGCA